GCCCGGCUAGCUCAAUCGGUAGAGCGUGAGACUCUUACAGAGUUUCCGAUUCUGACAAAAUCUCAAGGUUGUGGGGUAUGUUCAAAUCGUUCGUCA